AGAAAUGUUGCAGUUUCGUUUUGUGACCGACACUAACGGGUAUUUUACAGGACAUACAGGAUUACUCGUUUUUGCGAUCACAAAUCCUGAAAUUGCAGCAA
rnacentral:pre_miRNA from 12 species